UACAGAGGUCCCGAGCGUUUGUUCGGAUUCACUGGGCGUAAAGGGUGCGUAGGUGGUGAGGUAAGUCGGAUGUGAAAUCUCCAAGCUCAACUUGGAAACUGCAUUGGAAACUACCUUGCUAGAGGAUUUGAGGGGGGAUUGGAAUACUUGGUGUAGCAGUGAAAUGCGUAGAUAUCAAGUGGAACACCAGUGGCGAAGGCGAAUCCCUGGAAAAUACCUGACACUGAGGCACGAAAGCUAGGGGAGCAAACAGG
rnacentral:rRNA from 1 species